GACGAACGCUGGCGGCGUGCUUAACACAUGCAAGUCGAACGGUGAAGCGCCUUCCUUUUUGGUGGGUGUGGAUGAGUGGCGAACGGGUGAGUAACACGUGAGUAACCUGCCCCCUUCUUCUGGAUAACCGCAUGAAAGUGUGGCUAAUACGGGAUAUUCUGGGUCUGUCGCAUGAUGGGUCUGGGAAAGAUAUUGUUUCGGUGGGGGAUGGGCUCGCGGCCUAUCAGCUUGUUGGGGGGGUGAUGGCCUACCAAGGCGGUGACGGGUAGCCGGCCUGAGAGGGUGGACGGGCACACUGGGACUGAGACACGGCCCAGACUCCUACGGGAGGCAGCAGGGGGGAAUAUGGCACAAGGGGCGAAAGCCUGAUGCAGCGACGCCGCGUGAGGGAUGGAGGCCUUCGGGUUGUGAACCUCUUUCGCCAGUGAAGCAGGCCUGCCUCGUUUGUGGGUGGGUUGACGGUAGCUGGAUAAGAAGCGCCGGCUAACUACGUG
rnacentral:rRNA from 1 species